rnacentral:lncRNA from 1 species
GAGGAGGUCGAGCGCGGCGGCGCGACCGGCAACCGGUGGCCCCGCCAGGAGACGCUCGCCCUCCUCAAGAUCCGCUCCGAGAUGGACGCCGCCUUCCGGGACGCCACCCUNNNNNNNNNNNNNNNNNNNNUCCUCAAGAUCCGCUCCGAGAUGGACGCCGCCUUCCGGGACGCCACCCUCAAGGGCCCCCUCUGGGAGGACGUCUCCAGGUAAAAAGAAAAAAGCCAAAAAAUUCGCCAGAAUUCUAACAGCCAGCAGCCACUGCCCAGGUUCCAAAAUGUGGACGCCGGACCUCUCCUCCUCUUUCUCUUAUCUUUUUUCCUUCCUUCCCUCCGCACGCUCUUCCACCCCCCUGGCCUCCUCUCCCUUGUGCUACGUCCCAAUUCCCUUGCGAGAAGAGAUCACGGAUCUCGGGUGCCAUAAUUGAGAGAGACGGAGGGCUUAACGGUUUCUGGGGCUUUAGCACCGGGAUGAAAUAAGAGCAAAACUUUUGAGAAUUCUGAUAGACAGAUGAGUAACGAUCUGGGACUGUGUUCGUACCACGGAGCGCACUGUAUUACAGCAGCCGCUGCCUCCUCCUGCUGCCCUUGUUUGGAUUAGUUCCAGUUUUGGGAAAGAAGAAGCCAGUCAGUCCUCUUCUCCCAAUACAACUCCCCCUCCCUCCCUCCCUCCAAGUCCCAGAUCUCCUCCCCCCGUGGUUCACGAGCGGAGCAUCUUUUCUUUUUAAAUUAUAUCAAGUCCCCUCCACUUCUGCUUCUGAAUUCGAUAAGUGCCGCUUCGGAUCCGCUGCAUCGAUCCCAACCAAUGCCCAAUUUCUAAUUUCGGAGACCUGUUGAAAACCCCGGGCAAAAAGAGAGAGACUGAAAACCCCAUGCAUUCCUCCCCUUCCAUCAAGGUCACAUUUAGUUUUAGUUUUAAUUUAUUCUCCUCCUUUUACUCUUCAUAAAACUGAUAACUUUGUUUUAGUUUUGUUACGAUGAGCUAAUAAUUAGAGCUUUAAUUAGAUGCUCUUUGUGAGGAUGUAUAUAUAUGCUUUCAUGAUUCUCUCAUCUUCCUUCACUUCCUUCUGUUGCUGUUAUUAUUAUUAGCGGUCUGGUCUGUUGUGCGUGUGAUCGUCAUUAUGGGGUUGUUUGGGUGGUGGGCAG